AAUAUAUUAUAUUAUAGUAUUGCCACACUACACAGAAGAACACGCGCCCUAAAUAAUGAAAAGUGUGUGGAAAAGCCCUUUUGAAACUGGACAUGCCGUAGGGCUGCAGAAAUACCAUAGAAGUUUCAGAAGUGCAGCGUGUGUGGAAGAGAUUACUACGAAUCUACCACCGGAUCGGAAUCCCGACCCACUGAGAAGAUCCGGCGAAAAACUCAAUGGGCUGAUGACACGUCCUUCAUCAAACGAAGCUCGUGGGGACUACGCGAAGGUAGGCUGUGCACUUGCCAUUGUUAAUGACCACAAGUGACGGUAACUAUGUGGGCGCUUUACUCGUCUGUCUAAAAAGGCAAUAAAAAUAUAAAUAUGUGUUAAUUCCAUUACAGAUUUUUUUUCACUCUCUUUGAGAACCACUGAAAUAUUUACGUUAACUACUGAAAAAGCUAUGACGUAAUUCGAAUGAUCAUUGCAUGUAUUGAUUUUUUUUUUAAUGAUUGCUUUAAUCGUUUACAUUGUAUGUCAUAUGAUUGUGAUGUCUAAAAUAUUUCAAUAGAAAUAUGAUAGGUGGGUACGUAUUGUGCAAGUACACUUUAUUGGAAUGUAAUUUUCGUUCGUUAUUUAUUGAGAUAAAAUUCCGAAAUCUCGACAAGAUAAUUCUGAAUGACAACGAACUAAACAAUGAUAUCGACAACUUUAGUUUUACAAUUCAUUUCGAGUUUUCCAACAAAUCUGAAGGAUGAAGGUUAGCGAUUUAACCGAUACAAUACUCCCACGAAGGGACAAAAAUAGUUUGGAAGGUUCUAGUGAUGUCCAUCACUUUGAAGUUUUAUGAUAUAGUUUGAAAACAUAAUUGUCAUAAACACUGUCUCUAAAGAAAAAUGCUUUAUAAGCUGAUUUAUUUUUUAUAAUGUGAAGAAUUACGAAUAAAUAUGAGUAUGAAUGUAGAGUUAAUAUAAUUGAAAGUACUUAUAUAGUUUAAACUCCUUUUUUUUUAAAUCAUAUAAAUAUUUGUAAAUUUAUCCUAAAUGUACAAACAGCCAUCAAACUAAUAAUUUUUUUUUUAAUUUUCUUGAGUCAGGAAGUAAUCGCCAGACAUAGGCGAUAGACAUGCUGGCCAUAUCGGAGUUGUACAGACUACCGUUCAACGAGCCGUGACCCAAAUUCGGAUGAGACAGAACUCAAGGCAGUCGGGGAGCUAAGGCAUUUAACGCGGACCUCAUUUCUACCCGUCUUCUUACCCCACGGGAUAUUAGACCGGCGGUCAUCGACGCCACGACCAUUGGGCUUCUCUUUAAUCUAAAAUAAAAGCUUCACUAACAUGGCUGAAUUAACUAUCUUAACAAUUAUCCAUUAUAUUUAAGCUAUCAGAAAAGGCUAAAACCAAAUCUAAUUUUACACUUCCUAUCAAUAAUUCCAUUUUCACUACCGAUAACACAAUGCACAUCCAUCAACAAUGUCAUUGGAUUAAAAGAGCAAAAUAUGGCACACGAAUACCCAAUGAUUACAGUUUGUGUUUAGUCAAACAACUAUAAUUUGUCGCCAAUUGUUUUGUACACAAAAAAAAACAUUAAUAGAUUUGACGUAAUAAAGAUAUCAUCAAAAUCUUGCUAAAAAUGAUGCCUCAAGCACCGGUCACCGUCGAUCACGAUGAAGAGUGCGACGAGUGAACUAACCCACAAACAUAGUCCACUGAAUUUCUAGCCGGGUCUUCUCAGUCGAUCGCGAUUCCGAUCCAGUGGUAGAUUCUACGAAGCACUAAUCUUGCUGGGACUAGUAUUAGGAAAUUCUCUAAGGUUGAGGGAAUAUAACGGGGAUUUCAUUCCACGCUGCACUUGUUUUUUCUGUUUUAUUCUUCAUAAAUAAAUUGGCAAACAAAUUA